ACUCUCUCGUCUUGAUCGCAAACAAACACUAAGCACAUCUUCUUUUCAGAUCAAGGAAUAAAUGAAUUCGAGUUUUGAAUGAUUUUUGGUAUUUAUAUAUUGUUUUACUUAUGGGAGUUUUAAGAAAGGUUUCUGAUUUCCAGAGAGGUGUAGAUGUUUGAUUGAAAGGGAAGGGAGGUAGAACUAAAAAUAGCAAGCACUCAAAGCACUCAAAUUUCAGUUGUUAGCCAUCGAUCUUAUAUGUAGGAUCAUCAUUCUUGGUGAUUCUCUACCUUUUGAGGUGAUCCAGUUGAAUAAUUUCUUGUUGCAUGUUCUUGGAUUUGGAGAAAUCUGGGAUUUUUUGGUGGUUGCUUCACUUCAAUGGGUUCAAAGAGAUCCUCUUAACGUAUGACUAAUGAUUUGUAUUUUGCAAGUCUUUAUUGGAUAUGGUGUUUGGAAUUUUUCAAAAGUGAAUUGUGUUUAUUGCUACUGAGGAAGGAAAAGUCAUGAUAAUUGUUUUUUGUUUUUGCUAAUGUGAAGGAAAAAGUGAAGAUGAUGCUUAAUGGAAUUAGAUCUAUAAAUUCUGGAACAAAUUUUGAUGGUUGUGUUUUAUUCUUUUUGCUAAUGCUUCUCCAAGUCCCUUUUUAUUAAUUUAUUAUUCUAUUACAUAUUUUCAUCCCUGGUUUUGAUUUCAAUUUAGAUUUGGAUCUUUGAUUUGCCUUGGAUUAAUUUACAAGAACCUGAUUUUUGGGUUGGGUAUAUAAAAGGGAAAGAUAUUAGAAAAAUCCAAAAUUGACUAUUUUCAUUUCUCUCCUCAUUUUUCCAUUCUUCCGUUUUUUUUUUUUUUUUUUAAAUCACCAUUUUAAAUUCUAGUAAUGUUAAACAAAUCCUAAAUCUACCGUUUAGUUCAAUAAAAGAUAUAAAUUGAAAAAAUUAUAAGUAAAAAGUCAUUGUGUAUGUUUUUAUCCCAAUAAUUAAAUUUUAGUCAAUAGAAUAUGAAAUAAAUUGUAUACCUUCUUUAUCUUUUCUUUUUUGACAGUUUCUUUUACAUUGCUUUGCUUAUUUGCAUAGUAUUAUUUAGUUAUCUAUGUAUGUAUGAAUUGUGUAUUAUAAUUCUCAAGCAAUUUUACGAAUAUUUUUUAUUUAAAAAAUUCUGUAGGAUAGAAAGUUCUUUAUUUUCAUGCUUCAAGAAUAUGCAAGGUUAAAAUGGUAAAUUAAUAAUUAUAAUAUAUUUUUUCUAAGUCUUUUAAAACAAGAAAGAUAUAAUAUUUAUUUUUUUACAUCUUCCCCCUUUAUUUUCCUUCCAUUCCAAACAUGGGAGAAAAAAUAAGGAAAGAAAAUAAAGAGUAAAAUCUUUUAUUAUUUUUCUCUUAUAUUUUUUCCUCUUAUUUUCCUUCCUCUCUUUUUCAAACAAAAUGCAAAGGUCCAUCAAGAGUCGUAAGAAAAUAAAUUCUUUCAAACAUAUAGUGAAAUAAGAAGAAAAUACAUAAACGGCAAAAAAAAUGAAUGCAUAAAUUCUAAAAUUAAAAAUAAACGGCCAAAAAAUGAAUUAACCAACUUUGGACAAAGAUGUAAUUGACAAGAAAAUUAAAUUUGAGAUAGUAAUUAAAAAAAUUAAACAAAUUAGUUAAAUUUGUCACGCGUAAAAGUUCAGAUUUUGUUUUUUUAUUUAUCCUUUGUCUUUUAGUUCAUAUCAAUUAGAUUCAAUUUUGAACCAAAUCCAAAUUUACUUUGCAAAAAAUUUAAAAUUUUAAUUAAAAAAUCAAUUUAGUUUAAUUUUUAUUAAACUUAAAAAAAUUGAUUUAUUCAAACCAAAUCAAACCAAAUCGAUUUAUAAUUUUAUAUAAUAUUCGGUUCGAUUCAAUAUACGCCUAAAAGAUAAUCUGCCUUCUAGUUUCGAUUGAACCAAAACGACCUAAUACCCAACCUUCACCCUCAUAAAAAUAUUACUAAUAUAUCAAAUUCAAAAAGAAAAUAAACAAAUCAAUUGAUCAAAACCCAACAAAACAAAAUUUCAUUAUACAAGAAUUAAGAAAAUAUAUAUAUAUAUAUAAAAAAAAAACCCACUGUCUGAUCUUCAUAUUUACAUCAUCUAAUUCUCUACAUAAAACAGUAGAAAAGUACUAUAAUCUUCUAAUAUUGGAGCACCAAGCGUCUACCACAAACAGAGCAAUAAAACUUUCUCUUAGUCUUGAAAUAGAAAGGCAAAAAACAGAACCUCAACUGACUCUCAACAUCCAUAGCCUGAAUCAUCCCUCCACAGUACGGACAUGCCCCAGGCGCCGACUGCCUCGCGAUCACUCUCUCGUCUUGAUCGCAAACAAACACUAAGCACAUCUUCUUUUCAGAUCAAGGAAUAAAUGAAUUCGAGUUUUGAAUGAUUUUUGGUAUUUAUAUAUUGUUUUACUUAUGGGAGUUUUAAGAAAGGUUUCUGAUUUCCAGAGAGGUGUAGAUGUUUGAUUGAAAGGGAAGGGAGGUAGAAAGAGACCAGUGCGCGUGUUGAUCCAGAAAAUUCCAAUCUAACCGACCUUGUCUUGAUGCCUUUCGGUUUAUUUUAUUCUUAACUCGAUAUAAGAAUUUUUGUACGCGUUUGUUGGCAAGAAUAUUCCACGUAUUGCGUGUUAUUAUCUGAAUAACUAGUCUUAAGUAGGGAUGGUAAUUUU
rnacentral:lncRNA from 1 species